rnacentral:rRNA from 1 species
UUCCUACGGGAGGCAGCAGUGGGGAAUAUUGGACAAUGGGGGGAACCCUGAUCCAGCCAUGCCGCGUGUGUGAAGAAGGCCCUCGGGUUGUAAAGCACUUUCAGUGAGGAAGAACGCCUGGUGGUUAAUACCCAUCAGGAAAGACAUCACUCACAGAAGAAGCACCGGCUAACUCCGUGCCAGCAGCCGCGGUAAUACGGAGGGUGCGAGCGUUAAUCGGAAUUACUGGGCGUAAAGCGCGCGUAGGUGGCUUGAUAAGCCGGUUGUGAAAGCCCCGGGCUCAACCUGGGAACGGCAUCCGGAACUGUCAAGCUAGAGUGCAGGAGAGGAAGGUAGAAUUCCCGGUGUAGCGGUGAAAUGCGUAGAGAUCGGGAGGAAUACCAGUGGCGAAGGCGGCCUUCUGGACUGACACUGACACUGAGGUGCGAAAGCGUGGGUAGCAAACAGGAUUAGAUACCCUGGUAGUCCA